CGCUAUCUGGAUUUAAGCUUGCAAAGAAAUUUGUAAUCUUAAAUAAUGUAAGGGAGGAUAAUGACGUUACCUUACGAUGAGUGUCGUCUAAUCCUGGUGCCAGAAGACUCGGUAAUACCAGAGACGCGAACGUUAGUCAUCUUAAAUGGGCGUAAAGGGUUCGUAGGCAUCUUUAAAAAUCUUAAAGAUAGAAUUAAAUAGAAGAAAGGAGAAUAUCUAUAGGAGUGCUGAGAUAUUUAGAUUAUAGAUGGACUAAUAACGGCGAAGGCUCCUUUCUAUAAAUAAUUGACGCUGAGGAACGAAGGUGUAGAUAGAAAAUAGGAUUAGAGACCCAGGUAUCCUACACUGUAAACGAUGAAUGGUAAUAAUUUAUUUAAUUAAAAAUAAAUUCUGAAGCUAACAGCGAUAACCAUUCCGCCUUGUAAGUAUACUCGCAAGGGUGAAAAUAAAAAAAUUAGUCGGUUCUAGAGCAAACGAAGUGAAGCAUGUUAUUUAAUCGAAAAAACCCCCAAAACCCCCCAA
rnacentral:rRNA from 1 species